UUGUACUGAUAAGCACUAUAUAGAAAUUGACACCAAAGUUAUUGAAAGUUGUCUAGUUUCGAAUGUUUAUCUAAAACACCAACUAUUGCUUUCUAUGCUUCGAAACGAGCAAUCAAUUUAUUAAAAAUCUAAAAAUGUCAAAGCUUUUUGUGUUGAUUGUUUUGAUUGCUGUUCUGGCAAAUAUAUUGAUUUCUUCAUCUGUCAUGGGUUGUUCAGGGAGAAGGGAAUUUUGUGAGGAAAACAGUCACUGCUGCGGAAAGAUGAAAUGCAUAUCAGCGCAGUUUGGGAGGUAUUGCGACUAUUAGGAAUUCCUUAUCACAUAUUAAUAUUAUUAAUAUAAUUAGUCACUGCAUAUUUUACUAAAUAUCUUCCUGUAACAAUAACAAUAAUAAAUAAAAAAAUAUGUGAACAAACUA